rnacentral:ncRNA from 1 species
GGUGCGUAAGCUUAAUAGAGAAGCCGGUUAAAGUCCGGCGCGGUCCCGCCGCUGUAACGUGGAGUUAUCUUCCGAAAAAACCACUGGACGUAAGUCUGGGAAGGGGGAAGAAGACAAUGAAACGAAGCCAGAAGAACUGCCUGUAAG